rnacentral:misc_RNA from 1 species
UAGGACCAUAAAUUAGUGCUUAUCACUUUUAUUUAUAGUGUUUUUUUCUUUCAUUUUGAAGACUUAUAGUUGAUAUGAACCGGAAAUUUCCUCUAACAGUUUACAUCUUGAAGAUGCCUAAUGAUUCUUGGAUUUGAAUGAAGUAAUAAUUUCAAAACGACAAAGAUUUGCAUCUUAACAUAUUUUAGAAAAGUCAAGAAAUAUGGGUGCCCUGUUUCUUUCCUCUAAUACGGAUUUUCCAAUGCAUUGGUAGAAUUUUCUGUUGUCUAGUUGUUUGCAGAGUCAAUAUCCAGGUCAGAAAACUGUUUGUUGAUAUGUGAAUACAACCUCAAACGAG